rnacentral:rRNA from 1 species
GAGUUUGAUCCUGGCUCAGAUUGAACGCUGGCGGCAUGCCUUACACAUGCAAGUCGAACGGCAGCACGGGAGCUUGCUCCUGGUGGCGAGUGGUGAACGGGUGAGUAAUGCAUCGGAACGUAUCCUGGAGUGGGGGAUAACGUAGCGAAAGUUACGCUAAUACCGCAUAUUCUGUGAGCAGGAAAGCGGGGGACCUUCGGGCCUCGCGCCCUUGGAGCGGCCGAUGUCGGAUUAGCUAGUUGGUGAGGUAAAGGCUCACCAAGGCGACGAUCCGUAGCAGGUCUGAGAGGAUGAUCUGCCACACUGGAACUGAGACACGGUCCAGACUCCUACGGGAGGCAGCAGUGGGGAAUUUUGGACAAUGGGGGCAACCCUGAUCCAGCCAUGCCGCGUGAGUGAAGAAGGCC